rnacentral:ncRNA from 1 species
GAUUCGAGGUCUGCCCCGGAGUCAGGGAAGCUGGUAAGGCUCAGCUCGAGCCGAAGCCGGCACGGUCCCGCCACUGUAAGUGGGGAGCGGCGUCCAGAUCCGGUACUACGGAGCCACUGUCCGCACUCUCGCGGAUGGGAAGGUUGGGCGCCCGCGAUGAUCCACGAGUCAGGAGACCUCUCCGGGGCGGUGGCAUCCA